GAUACGGGGCAGUGCUAUACCAAAUAUGGCGAGCAAGAAACGGUAAAAUAUUCAAAGGGCAAACUGUACAUAGAGAGUUUGUUAUGCAACAGAUUAAGAUGACAGUUAGGGAGAAAAUUAGAAUGUUUAGACACUACAAAACAGCCAAGAAAUGUGCAGGAUUUUUGGCAAAAAUAUGUAACUAGUCUUUGAGGCCUAAUACGCAUGAAACCAAAUGGUGAUUAAAGUGUUAGGUGCUCCUUAGGUGUAAACAAAUUGUUGGUAUGGUAAUAUUUACAUUCUAUUGCCAAAAAAAAAAAAUAUCUAUACAAAUUCAGGCAUAGACCCGAUGAGGUGGUAGUCUCUGUGAUUGCUAUUUAUCUCUUCUCUCAUUUUUUUUUUUUUUUUUUUUUUUUUUGCCUUUUUCCCUUAUUUUCCGUUUUAAAUCCUUUUCCAAUAUUCUCAAAUAAGUGACCCAACGCGAACAAAUUCUUGCAGUUACAACUUCAUCCAACCGGCACUUUAGAAAUAAUCAAUCACUAAACAGAAACUGUUAAAACAGUUGUCCCUCCCAUAGGCUGUUUCAACUUUCGACUCUUCAAUUCUUUUCUUGUGCUACAGGCCAUCCAUAAAAAAAAAUUACACAAAGGAAAAACAGUUGAUCAUAUUAACCUUCGUCUUCUCACAGUCUUCAUGAUGGUAAUUCCCUUGUGAUUAAUGGAACUUUCUGGUGAUGAAGGCUUUCGAUCAUAGAAGAAACCGGCGUGGAAGAGAUAGUCAACCAUUGGCGAGAAGAAGCACAUGGGCACUUUGAAGCUUCAACUAUAGUUGGUGUUUAAUGUCAUGUAUCUCUACUUGAGUACUUUUUUUUUUCCUAUUUAUAUCCCAGGGCUUGUGUGUGUUUUCCUCAACUUUGUGCCACAAUGAUUGGAGGUAAUUCAGGUGCACAAAAUCUCUUCACGCCGGCCAGGUAUGCUGUUUUUCCAUUCUCAACCCCUUCUUUUUACUUCCAGCUCAUCAAUCUUUUUCAUAUAGAUUUCCUACUAUACUUCUUUCGUUUACUUACACUUCAACUCCAUAUGUUUUGAUUAAAUUUACUUACACUUCGACUCCCAUAUAUUUUGAUUAAAAAAAAAAAAUCAACUUCGAAUAGUAUAUGACAAUUGAUUGUGUCCUCAAAUAUAUGUAACUAUAUUUCUAUCAGUUGUUAACUUCUUAAAAUAAUAGUGAAUUUAGCGCAUCUUGGAGUGAGGGUCGAAAACAGGUUCUUUUUUUGUUGGCCAUAAAAUAUGAUUGUAUUCAUAUUCGUAAUCUCCAUUCUGAUAUGUUUAGACUUUAUAGGGUGUUACGACUUUAGGUACGUUGCAAAGAUUUAUAACUACUAUUUUAUUUAAUAAAAUGCUUUGUUGUCUUCUAAUUAACUGUAUUCACAUUUGUAUCUCUACUUUGAUACGUGACUUUAGAGUGUGUUACGUCUUUAGGUACUCUUUGAAGAUUUACACCUACUAUAUUAUUUGAUAAAAUGCUUCGUCGUCUUCUAGCACAAGAAAUUAAGAUGCAACAACUCAAUCUUUCAGGAGAUGAUAGCAUAAAUAGUUGGAAAGCUAUGUUAAAACAACCGUUGGAAACUGAACAUGAUUUUCACGAGAGGGGAAAAACAACAAAGAGAGACAGUCACUAACAGAGGAAGAUAGAUAACAAAAAGUAAUUUUAAGUUUUUAACUCUAUAUUUUUCAAAGUAGAAGGGAAGUGCUCUUUUUUUAAACCAAGAAGAGAAAUAUUAGAAUCUUAAAAAAAAUUGUGAUCAGGUUGAUAAAUUGCUUACUACGAAAGAGGUAUCUCUAUUCUUUUCAUAAUAUUUUGUCUUCAGAAGGAGAGACCCAGCUUACUAUUUGAAUCACAAAAACGCUUUUUCUCAUUGUCUAUUCAAUUCCAACUUCAUUCUCACCUAUGAAAUCAAGCUAAUAAGGUAAAAAAUAAAUUAGAUGCUUUUGAAAAGAAAAGUCGAUUUAUGUAAUCUUCCAGGGAUAAUGACUGACUGCUGAGCCAAAUUUUUGCAGAAGUCAUUAAGAUGUAUUCUCAAUGAUUCGAUAUAGUACAUCGACUGGUUCAGAUGGAUUCACAAGGUAGUAUUAUUUUUCAGACCUAUUAGAGCAGUAUAUCUUAGGAUGUGUUUAGAUUAUUCUCUAUUUUUCCUGCGAUGCCACAUUUCCAACAAGUUUCAAUCAUACAAAUUUCUGGUGCUGCUUAUCCAAGGGUAGAUUCUCCAACACGUUUUACUGAUUUAGGCUUAUUAAUUUGUAGAAGUUUGCAGGUAAGUUUUGUCUAAGAUAUAUAAUGCGAAAAGGCUAGCAAAUGUUUUACCUUUCUAAUUAUCGAUAAAUGCUUUGUCAAGAGAUUUUUAGAUGAAUGAAAAAGAGAUCAACGAUGGGCGAUAUUAUUUUAAAGUUAGAUAGUGUGAAAACGUAUGAUAAGGUGUUGGUGGAAUUUCUUCAUGAGGUAAUGAGACCCUUUGGAUUUAACUUUAAAUCUUUAGACAGAUAAGGUGUAGAUAACUCUGCAAGCUAGAAGCAUCUUGUAGUUUUGGCAGAGAAAGGGGCAAUGAGUAGUAUUUCUUUCUGAUAGUAAGAUGGAGGAGUCGUGUAAUGUAAAUGAAAUUAUAAAUUUGAGAUUUUGACUCACUUUGAAGAGGUUAAAGAUGAGAAUUAAGCUAAUACAUGAUGAGAA